rnacentral:rRNA from 1 species
GUGUCAGCCGCCGCGGUAAUACGGAGGGUGCGAGCGUUAAUCGGAAUAACUGGGCGUAAAGGGCACGCAGGCGGAUAAUUAAGUGAGAUGUGAAAUCCCCGAGCUUAACUUGGGAAUUGCAUUUCAUACUGGUUAUCUAGAGUCUUGUAGAGAGGGGUAGAAUUCCACGUGUAGCGGUGAAAUGCGUAGAGAUGUGGAGGAAUACCGGAGGCGAAGGCGGCCCCUUGGACAAAGACUGACGCUCAUGUGCGAAAGCGUGGGGAGCAAACAGGAUUAGAUACCCUGGUAGUCCACGCUGUAAACGAUGUCGAUUUGGGGGUUGGGCUUAGGUCUGGCUCUCGUAGCUAACGCGCUAAAUCGACCGCCUGGGGAGUACGGCCGCAAGGUUAAAACUCAAAUAAAUUGACGG